rfam:Ictidomys tridecemlineatus contig059868, whole genome shotgun sequence.
GUGGUUGUGGUUCAGUGGUAGAGCACUUGCCUAGCAUGUGUGAGGUAUUGGGUUUGAUUCCCAGCACCAAUA